rnacentral:tRNA from 1 species
GGGGAUGUGGCUCAGUGGAAGAGUCUCUGUUUAGUAUGCAGUUGGUUCCAGGUUCAGCCCCCAGCAUCGCCA